CGGGCAUAUUGCUAAGGAACCUGAAAUUCAGAGCCAGCCGGGGACUGACUCAAGGCAAUACAAAAUGGCAGAACCCGAGUACUUACCAGCUAUGGAUGAGUCCAGGAGUUCUUAAUCUGGAGUGCGAUUCCUGAAUGGGCUUCAGGAAAUCUCAAACCCCUAAAGUGGAUCCCUUUGAGAAUCUGCAUUGUUCUAAAAAGAGACAGGUGGAGGCUGAGAAGACACCAGGAAA